UGAGUGCGAGCUGCUACGGCAGCGAAGUGGGUGACGUCAAGCUUCCAAGAAAAGCCCUAUACCCGUUAAGGCAUGAUUGCCUGUACCCGAAACCGACACAGGUGGGGUGGUAGAGAAUACCGAGGGGCGCGAGGUAACUCUCUCUAAGGAACUCGGCAAAAUGGCCCCGUAACUUCGGGAGAAGGGGUGCCACCGCAAGGUGGUCGCAGUGAAGAGGCCCAGGCGACUGUUUACCAAAAACACAGGUCUCCGCUAAGUCGCAAGACGAUGUAUGGGGGCUGACGCCUGCCCAGCGCCGGAAGGUUAAGGAAGCUGGUCAGCGUAAGCGAAGCUGGCGACUGAAGCCCCGGUGAACGGCGGCCGUAACGAUAACGGUCCUAAGGUAGCGAAAUUCCUUGUCGGGUAAGUUCCGACCCGCACGAAAGGCGUAACGAUCUGGGCGCUGUCUCGGAGAGAGGCUCGGCGAAAUAGAAUUGUCUGUGAAGAUGCGGACUACGUGCACCCGGACAGAAAGACCCUAUGAAGCUUUACUGUAGCUUGGUAUUGUGCCCGGGCUCGCAAUGCGCAGGAUAGGUGGGAGGCUUUGAUCAUCGGCUUGCGGGUCGAUGUGAGCCACUGGUGAGAUACCGCUCUUUGCGAGCUAGGGUUCUAACGGCCACCCGUGAUCCGGGGGCCGGACAGUAUCAGGUGGGCAGUUUGACUGGGGCGGUCGCCUCCUAAAAGGUAACGGAGGCGCGCAAAGGUUCCCUCAGGCUGGUUGGAAAUCAGCCGACGAGUGUAAAGGCAGAAGGGAGCUUGACUGUGAGACCUACAAGUCGAACAGGGACGAAAGUCGGCCUUAGUGAUCCGACGGUUCUGAGUGGAAGGGCCGUCGCUCAACGGAUAAAAGUUACUCUAGGAUAACAGGCUGAUCUCCCCCAAGAGUUCACAUCGACGGGGAGGUUUGGCACCUCGAUGUCGGCUCAUCGCAACCUGGGGCUGAAGUCGGUCCCAAGGGUUGGGCUGUUCGCCCAUUAAAGCGGUACGCGAGCUGGGUUCAGAACAUCGUGAGACAGUUCGGUCCAUAUCCGGUGCAUGCGCAGGAAUAUUGAGAGGAGUUCUCCCUAGUACGAGAGGACCGGGAGGAACGCACCUCUGGUGUACCAGUUAUCGUGCCAACGGUAAACGCUGGGUAGCCAUGUGCGGAGAGGAUAACCGCUGAAAGCAUCUAAGAGGGAAGCCCACCUCAAGAUGAGUAUUCCCAUGGCAUAAGCCAGUAAGGUCACGGGAAGAACACCCGUUGAUAGGCUCUACGUGGAAGCGCAGUAAUGCAUGAAGCGGAGGAGUACUAAUAGACCGAGGGCUUGAC
rnacentral:rRNA from 1 species